AUUGAACGCUGGCGGCAUGCUUUACACAUGCAAGUCGAACGGCAGCGCGGGCUUCGGCCUGGCGGCGAGUGGCGAACGGGUGAGUAAUACAUCGGAACGUGCCCAGUAGUGGGGGAUAGCUCGGCGAAAGCCGGAUUAAUACCGCAUACGACCUGGGGGUGAAAGCGGGGGGUCUUCGGACCUCGCGCUAUUUGAGCGGCCGAUGGCAGAUUAGCUAGUUGGUGGGGUAAAGGCCUACCAAGGCGACGAUCUGUAGCUGGUCUGAGAGGACGACCAGCCACACUGGGACUGAGACACGGCCCAGACUCCUACGGGAGGCAGCAGUGGGGAAUUUUGGACAAUGGGCGAAAGCCUGAUCCAGCAAUGCCGCGUGUGUGAUGAAGGCCUUCGGGUUGUAAAGCACUUUUGGCGGGAACGAAAAGGACUGUGCCAAUACCACGGUUCGAUGACGGUACCCGCAGAAUAAGCACCGGCUAACUACGUG
rnacentral:rRNA from 1 species